GCAGGAGGAGGAGAGAGGCUGGUAGGCUGCAGUCCAGGGGUUCCAGAGAGCCCUGUUUGAACCCCUAGCUCCGCCUUUUACAAAUUCUGUGAUUUCAGGUUCAUUGGCUAAAACUCCAGAGGAAGUCCUUUCUCUCCCGGUCCCAAGGGCCACCGUCGCUCCUGCCUGUUGC
rnacentral:lncRNA from 1 species